rnacentral:rRNA from 1 species
GACGAACGCUGACGGCGUGCUUAACACAUGCAAGUCGAAGGGAGUGGCGAACGGGUGAGUAACAUGGGUGUAACCCGCCCCUUUCUGUGGGAUAAGUCUGGGAAACGGGGUCUAACACUGGAUGGGGUGGGAUGGGCGCGCGGCUUAUCAGUUUGUUGGUGGGGUGAUGGGGUACCAAGGCUUUGACGGGUAGGCGGGCUGAGAGGGUGGUUGGUCAAAGUGGGACGGAGAUACGGCCCAGACUCCUACGGGAGGCAGCAGUGGGGGAUAUUGCACAAUGGGCGAAAGUCUGAUGCAGCGACGCCGUGUGGGGGAUGAAGGCUUUCGGGUUGUAAACUCCUUUCGCCAGCGGAAUGGUAGUGGGUGAAGAAGCGCCGGCUAACUACGUGCCAGCAGCCGCGGUAAUAC